rnacentral:rRNA from 1 species
GACGAACCGUGCGAACGUUGUUCGGAAUCACUGGGCUUAAAGGGCGCGUAGGCGGGCUCGCCAGUCAGGGGUGAAAGCCCACGGCUCAACCGUGGAAGUGCCCCUGAUACUGCGGGCCUCGAGGGAGGUAGGGGCGUGCGGAACUUCCGGUGGAGCGGUGAAAUGCGUAGAUAUCGGAAGGAACACCGGUGGCGAAAGCGGCGCGCUGGACCUCUUCUGACGCUGAGGCGCGAAAGCCCAGGGGAGCAAAGCGGG